CGUCGGAGGACCGACCUGGCCCCACGCCGCCGAGCCUCCGCACGGUUCAGGGGUCGCGGGGGCGCGGGCGCUUCAACAGCCCGAGAAACCACGCGAAGACUUUCAGAUGUCCCUUUGGGUCCCCACUCCAGGAAGCGAGCCGCAACCUUGGUCGACAUACCUCCCACGUGUGUAGACUGUGACCGUGUGGCCACAUCACUAGGAGUCACUAAGGUUCUAGAGCUAAAAGUCCUGAAUAUGAUCCGGAGGAAGACACGUCUGCAUUCGGUCUGACAAAUGGAAUCGUGGGAGAGUAGGCCCUGAACGACCCACCACACCCAGCGAGGAGACAAAAAUGACCUGGCCACACUCGGAUGGGACAAGAACAACUUCAUGCCCCUGGGGAUGGUCUCAGCUUGGUCAAAGUUUAAACACCAGGUAGUUUCCCAUGGGAGAUUUUAUUUAAAACUGUGAUUUCAUUUUUAAUUAAUUUCUACAGCCCAACAUGGGACUCGAACUCACAACCCUGAGAUCAACAGUCACGUGCUCCCCUGACUGAGCCAACCAGGAGCCCAGCAAUGUGCGGUUUUGAGCACUAAGCAACUUGCUCCUUAAGGGCAAGAAAUCAGAGAACGUGUGUGUUCCCUGCCGGUGCUCUGCAGUCACCCCCCCGGGAGAGGCCCGAAGACCCUCGCGCACCGUGGGAGCCUACUGUGUGGGACCUUCCUUUGUCUGUCAGCAGCGGGCUGCGUGGUUCCCGAGCACCCCUCGGGUGCCUGGUGCCGUCUCAGGGUGCCCCUGUUGCAUAGAGGGCCUCCACACGUUCCUUUCAUCUGGGAGUCGCUUACUUAUUUUUUGUGCUUGCCACACUCUGAAGGCACCGAGGCAGGUGCCGAGCACGUGCGGAGCAGCGGCCUGCAGGGACACCCAGGCCUCAGGGACCCUCAUCACCCCCCGCCUCCCUCCCUUAAUUACCCCCUGGGAGCUGGGACUGACUGCAGAGGGAGAGCACGGAGGCUUUGCAUUUAGGAGGCCCUCUCUCCGAGGACUUGGAGGUGCUCCUAGGUGGGACGUACUCUUGAGAGAGUCCACAGGAACAGCCAAACCUGAGGAUCCUCGCUAAUCCCCUUUCCUUUCCUCUCUGGAUUUUGCAUGUUUUAUUAUAUAUGGUUCUGAUGUCUGCUGAUUAAAGAAUAUUUUACAAGAUGUAUAAAAUGAAAAUAUCACAAGAGAUUAAAUCGUAAUAACGCUACCAGAGUGCAGUACAUUGCACACACCAAGAUUCAAAUAAUGGAUCCCAGCUUUUUGUUUUUUUAGUAUGAACAUUCUUGCACAGUAGCAAAAUAGGAAUAUGCCAGAAAGAUAGAAUUUGCAUUUUAGGUCUGUUGACUGGAAAAUACAUUAGAAAACUUACUGAAUUAGGCAGGAAUAUUUUUUAUUCUAUCCAUUAUACUAAAAAAAAUCCUGCGAGGUAAGUGAGGGUGGCUCUAAUUGACGUCAUUCUGUACCCGCAGAGUGUGACUCACUCCAGUCCGUAUUCCAUGUGCUUCCAUCCCUACUGCUUCAGACCCUGUCACCCGGUCGCUGCUCGGAGGUCCGCCUCCCGGAGUUGAGAACAGUUGGUGUAGGUCUUCGAGCCAUUGUUUUCAGGAACAGUCGCUCAUACACAGAAUAAUUACGUUGGACUGAAAACAAAGAACCGAAGACCCUCAUUGAGCAUUCCAGGGCUCCUCAGUGGUGGGGGAGCUACCCUGUAGGGUUAAAACCACUUAGACAUUAAAACAAUGGAAUUUA